AUCACGGGAGACACACGGCGGGUGCUAACGUCCGUCGUGAAGAGGGAAACAACCCAGACCGCCAGCUAAGGUCCCAAAGUCAUGGUUAAGUGGGAAACGAUGUGGGAAGGCCCAGACAGCCAGGAUGUUGGCUUAGAAGCAGCCAUCAUUUAAAGAAAGCGUAAUAGCUCACUGGUCGAGUCGGCCUGCGCGGAAGAUGUAACGGGGCUAAACCAUGCACCGAAGCUGCGGCAGCGAACGUAUCACCCAAGACAACUUUACGGAGUUGACGAUUGACGGAGCGAAGCGACGUCAAAGCGUUCAUUAAAGUCGAGUUGGCUUAGGGAUACGUUCGUUGGGUAGGGGAGCGUUCUGUAAGCCUGUGAAGGUGUGUCGUGAGGCAUGCUGGAGGUAUCAGAAGUGCGAAUGCUGACAUAAGUAACGAUAAAGCGGGUGAAAAGCCCGCUCGCCGGAAGACCAAGGGUUCCUGUCCAACGUUAAUCGGGGCAGGGUGAGUCGACCCCUAAGGCGAGGCCGAAAGGCGUAGUCGAUGGGAAACGGGUUAAUAUUCCCGUACUUGGUGUUACUGCGAAGGGGGGACGGAGAAGGCUAUGUUGGCCGGGCGACGGUUGUCCCGGUUUAAGCGUGUAGGUGUGUGUUCCAGGUAAAUCCGGUUCACUUUAACACUGAGGCGUGACGACGAGGCACUACGGUGCUGAAGCAACAAAUGCCCUGCUUCCAGGAAAAGCCUCUAAGCAUCAGGUAACACGAAAUCGUACCCCAAACCGACACAGGUGGUCAGGUAGAGAAUACCAAGGCGCUUGAGAGAACUCGGGUGAAGGAACUAGGCAAAAUGGUGCCGUAACUUCGGGAGAAGGCACGCUGACACGUAGGUGAAGUGAUUUACUCAUGGAGCUGAAGUCAGUCGAAGAUACCAGCUGGCUGCAACUGUUUAUUAAAAACACAGCACUGUGCAAACACGAAAGUGGACGUAUACGGUGUGACGCCUGCCCGGUGCCGGAAGGUUAAUUGAUGGGGUCAGCGUAAGCGAAGCUCCUGAUCGAAGCCCCGGUAAACGGCGGCCGUAACUAUAACGGUCCUAAGGUAGCGAAAUUCCUUGUCGGGUAAGUUCCGACCUGCACGAAUGGCGUAAUGAUGGCCAGGCUGUCUCCACCCGAGACUCAGUGAAAUUGAACUCGCUGUGAAGAUGCAGUGUACCCGCGGCAAGACGGAAAGACCCCGUGAACCUUUACUAUAGCUUGACACUGAACAUUGAGCCUUGAUGUGUAGGAUAGGGGGGAGGAUUUAAAGGGUGGACGCCAGUCUGCAUGGAGCCGACCUUGAAAUACCACCCUU
rnacentral:rRNA from 1 species